ensembl:snoRNA
AGUCUCAUUCUAGAUUACAAUGGGCACUGUCAAUUGGUGUCCAAAAUAUGUGGCUAAAACUGAGACACAAGUCAUGCUUCCAUCACAGUAAAUGUUACCAUGGUGACAAUGAGACUUGUAACAUUU